GAUCAUGGCUCAGGAUGAACGCUAGCUACAGGCUUAACACAUGCAAGUCGAGGGGCAGCAUGAAGGAAGCUGCUCCUUGAUGGCGACCGGCGCACGGGUGAGUAACGCGUAUCCAACCUUCCCCUUAGUAGGGCAUAGCCCGUAGAAAUGCGGAUUAAUACCCUAUGUUCUUCGUUGAGGACAUCUGAGAUGGAGCAAAGCUUUUGCGCUAAGGGAUGGGGAUGCGUCCGAUUAGGUAGUAGGCGGGGUAACGGCCCACCUAGCCGUCGAUCGGUAGGGGUUCUGAGAGGAAGGUCCCCCACACUGGAACUGAGACACGGUCCAGACUCCUACGGGAGGCAGCAGUGAGGAAUAUUGGUCAAUGGGCGCAGGCCUGAACCAACGCCAAGUAGCGUGGAGGACGACGGCCCUACGGGUUGUAAACUUCCUUUUAUGCGGGGAUAAAGUGCCCUACGUGUUAGGGUUUUGCAGGUACCGCAUGAAUAAGGACCGGCUAAUUCCGUGCCAGCCGCCGC
rnacentral:rRNA from 1 species